AUGGAGCCGAUCCAACCCACGGCCACCCAAGCGAGCAAGAUCCGCGUCCAGCACGAGCCCGCUGACGGCGGAUAUGCGGCGAGCGGGGCUAUCGGCGCCCUCCCUAUCCACCUCAUUGAGAAGAUCCUCGGAUUCGCGUCCAGCACGAGCCCGCUGGAUUCGGUGCGCCUCGCCGUCGUCUGCAAGUCCUGGGCGGCGGCCGUCUCCGAGCGGCUAGCGAGACCCACCCCCCACCUGUUCGCGCUCAAGCUCGCCAACGUGCACAGCCAGUCCCCGUUACGGUUCAUGCUGCCGCCCGAGGAGGAGCGCCGCCACCGCGGGGCCAUCUACUCCCUGCCGGUGAACGAGGAGGGCUCGCCGUCGCUGGUGGCCCCUGCCCGCUUGCCCUCCGUGGUCCGCGACCCAAAAGGCAUGAACUUUAAGCUAUCCGGCGCCCUGCCCUGCGGCCUCCUCUCCUUCGCGGUCGGCAACCGCGUUGUCCUCGUCAACCCCAUCACCGGCGCGUUCCGGAGCGACGUGUAUGCGCCCUUCGGGACUGGAGCUAAGGUGAGGGCCGUCGCCAGCGCCAACGCGAUCUUCGAUCACGACUACGCCGAGAGGAGCGUCCCGCUCUGCUGGUGCACGGGGGAGUGGUCCGAGCGGAAGCUGCUCUCUGAAGAGUUCAAGAACAUUUAUCUGAUGGCCUACACAGACGGUGUCUUCUACGCGCUGGAAUUCCGGGGUUGCGCCUACACGGUGGACACACGCGUGCCACCACCAUGGCGCCUGAAGAAGCUCCGUGCGCCGAGCAUUCUCGAGCAGUACACCCCGAUCCGCGGGCGCUUCCUCUGCUACUCGCACCUGCUGGAGUCGGAAGGGGCAGUCCUGUUUGUUGGUCCGGUGCUCGCACCACGACAACCCACAUGCCGUGAUACCAUCGGUGGCUUCGAGGUGUACAGGCUGGAUGUCAAGGCGGCACGAUGGGUGAAAGUGGAGAGGCUUGCUGCUGACAGGGCGCUUUUCGUGAGUGAGCAAUCAUCGUGCCUCGGAGGUGCCGGGGUGCAUGAGCAACUGCAUCUACUUUGUGGGUGA
rnacentral:rRNA from 1 species